rnacentral:rRNA from 1 species
GAAUCUGGCUUCAGGUUCGGGACAACAGUUGGAAACGGCUGCUAAUACCGGAUGUGCCUUAGGGUGAAAGAUUUAUCACCUGAAGAUGAGCUCGCGUCUGAUUAGCUAGUAGGUGUGGUAAGAGCGCACCUAGGCGACGAUCAGUAGCUGGUCUGAGAGGAUGAUCAGCCACACUGGGACUGAGACACGGCCCAGACUCCUACGGGAGGCAGCAGUGGGGAAUUUUCCGCAAUGGGCGAAAGCCUGACGGAGCAAUACCGCGUGAGGGAGGAAGGCUCUUGGGUUGUAAACCUCUUUUCUCAGGGAAGAAUGAUGACGGUACCUGAGGAAUAAGCAUCGGCUAACUCCGUGCCAGCAGCCGCGGUAAUACGGAGGAUGCAAGCGUUAUCCGGAAUGAUUGGGCGUAAAGCGUCCGCAGGUGGCAAUGUAAGUCUGCUGUCAAAGCGUCUGGCUCAACCAGAUAAAAGCAGUGGAAACUACAUAGCUAGAGUAAGGUAGGGGUAGAGGGAAUUCCUGGUGUAGCGGUGAAAUGCGUAGAGAUCAGGAAGAACACCGGUGGCGAAAGCGCUCUGCUGGACCUUAACUGACACUGAGGGACGAAAGCUAGGGGAGCG